rnacentral:rRNA from 1 species
GAUGAACGCUGGCGGCGUGCCUAAUACAUGCAAGUCGAGCGAAGCGGGGACGGACGAGUAACACGUGGAUAACCUCCUAUCAUACUGGGAUAACUUCGGGAAACCGGAGCUAAACCGGAUCCUUAUAGAUGGUUCCGGGCUGCAUUCGCUAGUUGGUAAGGUAACGGCCCACCAAGGCAACGAUGCAUAGCCGACCUGGGAGGGUGAUCGGCCACACUGCAUCUGAGACACGGUCCAGACUAAUACGGGAGGCAGCAGUAGGGAAUCUUACACAAGGGGAGAAAGCCUGACGUAGCAACGCCGCGUGGUUGAUGAAGGUCUUCGGAUCGUAAACCUAUGUUAUUAGGGUAGCGGUACCUAAUCAGAAAGCCACGGCUAACUACGUGCCAGCAGCCGCGGUAAUUC